UAGGCAGAAGCCUGUUGGUUUGGGCGCUUAGCUGUUAACUAGGAGAAUUGCGGGGUCGAAGCCCGCCUGUCUAG
rnacentral:tRNA from 2 species